ACAAAAGUUAUGUGAAUAAGAUCUCCUUUUUUCUAUCUCUCUCUCUCAAAAUACUGUAAGAUUUUUGGAUGGCAGUUGACUACAGGUAACUGAAACCACAGAAAGUGAAAUGAUAGAUAGGAGAGAACUUCUCUUCUGAAUAGAGCAGGCUCCAUUUCCGAAGAAGGUUGUGUACACCAGGGAAUAGAGAAGCUGAGAAGGUGAAUAUUGAAACUUUCCACUGUUGUGUGCUUUCUGCCGUAGAAGUUGGUGAAUUUAUCUUGACAAAUUUUUGUGAACCUCAUUCUUGCCCCACAGGCCAGAGAAUUUGUACUAUUCUGUGUUUUUCAGGAGAUGGAAUGCUGAAGAACAAGCCUUGUAUACAUUGGAGCCAUCUGAAACCAGAAAUCACCGAAAUCACACCCCUUUGAGGUUAAAGCUCUUGGCCAGCAUUCCAACACUAUCCAAGUUGAACUCUUUGAAGUCCAUGCCUUGCUAAUAAUGAUAUAGCAGAUAUUUGUCCAAAAUAAUCACUAGUGGAUUUGUAGAGAAACAUGCCUAACAGGCGAAGAUUGGGAAAUACAUAUGGUCAAUUAUAAAUUAACUAAAAAAAAAGUGCACUGCAGGAACCCAAUGAGAAGAAGUCUGUGACAUUCAGAACAAACAUACUGUAUUAAUUAUUAUUAUUCAUUCUGUAUUGCCACAAGUGUACACAAUACUACGUAAAUGGUUGACAGAACUGGAGAAAGAAUAAUAUCCUAGCCCUGGAAUGCUUAUAAUUUAUGUAAACACAUCCUUUUAUUUUGUUUUUCCAAGCCAUAUCUCUCUGAAUUGUGAUUCUGCUUAUUUUGCUCAUAUUCAUAUUUCAUCUCUGGUUCUCAUAUAAACUAAAAAAUGAGUUGUCUUAGAAGGCACACAUGUUUUUCCAAAAUGAUGAUUCUCUUGCAUAGGAUUUGAACGGUCUCAUUGGGAAUUCUGAAUAAAGAGCCAUUCCUUGGUUGGGGUCCCCCUGUAUAUCUGAAAUGAGAAAAGGGGAAUAUAUUUAAGGCCCUUUGGAGAUGAAUGGUGCUGGAAGAGUAAAGUAUUAUUAGGAACUUUUCUUGGUAGACUAUCAAAAGUCUUUGUGUUUGUAAGUGUUCCUUCUACUAUGAAAAUACAGAGGAAGCAAAGUUGAAGAGAUUAGCACCAACAUUUAUUAUUACCCAAAUUGCUUGCUAGUUCUGCCUCCUGAUCGCACUGUUAAUUCAUCAGGCUCAUUAGUUUCCCACAGUAUAUAUUCAUGCUAUAUUAUUGUUUUAUUUAAACUUACCCAUGAAAGAUCUUUAAACUGGCUUAAUUUAGAAGCUGAUUGAGUGAUUUACAUGGCCUCUCAAGUUUUUGUUCAAUAGCAAUAAGCAUUCCACAGACAGGCAAAUUCAGUAUUAACAUGAAUGUGACAUUGGAGAAAUUUCUGUUUUUAUUGUAACUACAAAUAUUGCUUGUUUUACUACCCUUUAUUUUACCAUUUGAAAACAUUUGAAAGACACAAUUUAAACCUUGAUACAAACUGUAUUAGUCUUUGAAAAAUUUCUCCUUAAAAUCAGAAACAAAAUUUGUGACUAAAUUUGGAAACUCUAAUUUGAAGAUCCUGUAUAAUAUGAUUGACAUUCAUAUAUACUUCCUGAUAUGAAAUACCAACAUUUAUAAAAAUAAAGGGGAGGCCAGGAAGAUAAGUUUGUUUUAAUUCCCCAAUAUUAAUAAGGGCCCUUCUCUGUGUGAGGCCUUAUACUAGGCACUAUUGAUACCAGGUUGAAUAAAACAGAC
ensembl:lincRNA